rnacentral:rRNA from 1 species
UAAUAGUGUAUAUUAAAGUUGUUGCAGUUAAAAAGCUCGUAGUUGAAUGUUGGUGUCGAACGAGCGGUCAGCUUCGGCUGUACUGCUCUCUCGACUCCUUCCUUCUGUGGACUGCGUCGCACUUUACUGUGUGGCGCUAGGACGCAGAUCGUUUACUGUGAAAAAAUUAGAGUGUUCAAAGCAGGCCGUACGCUUGAAUACAUUAGCAUGGAAUAAUGGAAUAGGACGUCGGGCCUAUUUUGUUGGUUCUAGGACCGUCGUAAUGAUUAAUAGGGACAGUUGGGGCCGUUUAUAUUCCGUAGUCAGAGGUGAAAUUCUUGGAUUUACGGAAGAUAAACUACUGCGAAAGCAUUCGGCAAGGAUGUUUUCGUUAA